rnacentral:rRNA from 1 species
AAUAGAUACCCCGGUAGUCCACGCCGUAAACGAUGAGUGCUAAGUGUUAGAGGGUUUCCGCCCUUUAGUGCUGCAGCUAACGCAUUAAGCACUCCGCCUGGGGAGUACGGUCGCAAGACUGAAACUCAAAGGAAUUGACGGGGGCCCGCACAAGCGGUGGAGCAUGUGGUUUAAUUCGAAGCAACGCGAAGAACCUUACCAGGUCUUGACAUCCUCUGACAACUCUAGAGAUAGAGCGUUCCCCUUCGGGGGGACAGAGUGACAGGUGGUGCAUGGUUGUCGUCAGCUCGUGUCGUGAGAUGUUGGGUUAAGUCCCGCAACGAGCGCAACCCUUGAUCUUAGUUGCCAGCAUUUAGUUGGGCACUCUAAGGUGACUGCCGGUGACAAACCGGAGGAAGGUGGGGAUGACGUCAAAUCAUCAUGCCCCUUAUGACCUGGGCUACACACGUGCUACAAUGGAUGGUACAAAGGGCUGCAAGACCGCGAGGUCAAGCCAAUCCCAUAAAACCGAUUCUCAGUUCGGAUUGUAGG